rnacentral:SRP_RNA from 2 species
GCCGGGCGUGGUGGCGCGCUCCUGUAAUCCCAGCUACUCGGGAGGCUGAGGUAGGAGAAUUGCUUGAACCCAGGAGGCAAAGGUUGCAGUGAGCCGAGAUUGCACCACUGCACUCCAGCCUGGGCAACAGAGCAGGACCCUAUCUUAA